AGAUUAGUCUUAUUGUUUGGCCGUUUUGGAAAGUGGAAAUUUUGCAGCUCCUAAUCAAACCAUAAAUUGGUCAAUAAGAAAUUGAGCUGAUAGUUAUUCUAUAAAAAUCAACUAGUUAAAGAUAAAUACUGACCUUUAUCUGUAUGCCAAACAUACUGUACCCAUACGUAAGUACUGGCAGCGAAAAAGAGCCAAUGCACUGGUAUGAAGAAGUAACACAGCAUGUCCGAUGUGAGCGAAAUGGCAACGAAGAAAGCCGAAAAUAGAAGGCCUUGAUACCUAUAGGAGUCGUACAGUGUACGUAUCACUAGGUAGAAUGGCCAUAGAAAUUCAAAUCGGAACUCCAAAAUAAAAUCCGCUAGUAUUACCAAGAUCCACAAAAUCAGAAACUUCAAAUAGAGAAGGGCGCUGAAAGAAAAAUGCAUUGAAUCAGGCCUUUAGUAGCCUAAAUAAAUGGUUCAAGGUGGAACUUUAGUCCAAAAUAAUUUCUAUUUAUAUUUUACAACAGAAAACAUUUUUAAUUUG